rnacentral:rRNA from 1 species
UGACCUCAAAUCAGGUAGGACUACCCGCUGAACUUAAGCAUAUCAUAAG